GAUGAACGCUGGCGGCGUGCUUAAUACAUGCAAGUCGAGCGGACAGGCCCUGCUUUUGUUCGUUUCUCGAUUGCGGAGCGCGGGAGUAACACGUGAGUAUCCUGCACUUGUCUUUGGGAGAUCUCUAGGAGACUGCGGCUCUUACCCGAUAGAAGCUCCUGCACCAUGGUGGGGGAUAGUAAGAUUCGGUGGUUGUGGCUAGUCUAGCGGCUUACGAGCUGGAUGGUGGGGUUGUGGCGUAACAAGGCUUCGACGGGUAGCCGGCCUUAGAGGUUGGGCGGCCACAUUGGGACUGAGAUACGGCGCAGACUGCUACGGGACGCAGCAGUGGGGAGUAUUACACAAUGGGGGGAAGCCUGAGACAGCAACGCUGCGAGCGGAAUGACGGCCUUUGAGUUAUAAACCGCUUUGGAAUGUAAUGAGCCGUGAGUGACGGUAAUGAAUAAGGAAGCACCGGCUAACUACGUG
rnacentral:rRNA from 1 species